ACUUUGGGAAGCAGAGGAGACCCCAGUACAAACAUCACACACCAUGUUCAUUACAUCUCUACUGCUCCUGCUUGCAGCUUCUUCCUAUGUCCACUGUGAUGAAUUGACUCAGCCUGCUGCCAUGACAGUCCAGCCAGGCCAGAGUCUCUCCAUCACCUGUAAGGUUUCAUAUUCAGUUACGAGCUAUGGUACAGGUUGGAUCCGACAACCUGCAGGAAAAGCUCUGGAGUGGAUAGGACUUAUUAACUAUGCUGGGAGUUUAUAUUACAGCGACAAACUGAAAAAUAAAUUCAGCAUCUCCAGAGACACUUCUACUAACACAAUAACAAUUCGAGGACAGAAUCUGCAAACUGAAGACACAGCUGUGUAUUACUGCGCAAGAGAGUCACAGUGA